GAUGAACGCUGGCGGCGUGCCUAAUACAUGCAAGUCGAGCGAACAGACGAGGAGCUUGCUCCUCUGACGUUAGCGGCGGACGGGUGAGUAACACGUGGAUAACCUACCUAUAAGACUGGGAUAACUUCGGGAAACCGGAGCUAAUACCGGAUAAUAUAUUGAACCGCAUGGUUCAAUAGUGAAGGACGGUUUUGCUGUCACUUAUAGAUGGAUCCGCGCCGCAUUAGCUAGUUGGUAAGGUAACGGCUUACCAAGGCAACGAUGCGUAGCCGACCUGAGAGGGUGAUCGGCCACACUGGAACUGAGACACGGUCCAGACUCCUACGGGAGGCAGCAGUAGGGAAUCUUCCGCAAUGGGCGAAAGCCUGACGGAGCAACGCCGCGUGAGUGAUGAAGGUCGUCGGAUCGUAAAACUCUGUUAUUAGGGAAGAACAAAUGUGUAAGUAACUAUGCACGUCUUGACGGUACCUAAUCAGAAAGCCACGGCUAACUACG
rnacentral:rRNA from 1 species